AAAGAUUAAGCCAUGCAGGUCUCAGUGCAAGCCGAAUUAAGGUGAAACCGCGAAAAGCUCAUUAAAUCAGCUAUGGUUCCUUAGAUGGUACGUACAGUUACUUGGAUAACUGUGGCAAUUCUAGAGCUAAUACAUGCAAACCGAGUUCCGACCGCUUAGCAGGCGGAAGGAAUGCUUUUAUUAGAUCAAAACCAAUCGGACUCAACGUACGGGUCGUUAAGUCUUGGUGACUCUGAAUAACUUUGUGCUGAUCGCACGGUCCCGCACCGGCGACGCAUCUUUCAAAUGUCUGACUUAUCACUUUCGAUGGUAAGCUCUGCGCCUACCAUGGUCGUAACGGGUAACGGGGAAUCAGGGUUCGAUUCCGGAGAGGGAGCCUGAGAAACGGCUACCACAUCCAAGGAAGGCAGCAGGCGCGCAAAUUACCCACUCCCGGCACGGGGAGGUAGUGACGAAAAAUAACGAUGCAGAACUCUUUCCGAGGCUCUGCAAUCGGAAUGAGAACACUCUAAANNNNNNNNNNNNNNNNNNNNNNNNNAUUCCGACGUUAGAGGUGAAAUUCUUGGAUCGUCGGAAGACUGACCUAAGCGAAAGCAUUUGCCAAGGAUGCUUCCUUUAAUCAAGAACGAAAGUUAGAGGUUCGAAGGCGAUCAGAUACCGCCCUAGUUCUAACCGUAAACGAUGCCAGCUAGCGAUCCGUCGAAGUUCUAACGAUGACUCGACGGGCAGCUCCCGGGAAACCAAAGCUUUUGGGUUCCGGGGGAAGUAUGGUUGCAAAGCUGAAACUUAAAGGAAUUGACGGAAGGGCACCACCAGGAGUGGA
rnacentral:rRNA from 1 species